UACAGCUUGCCUCGGGUUGGAGUGGGGACCAGCUAUGGCUUGCCACAAGCCAGGAGGAUAUCACUGGCCACUCCGAGACAGCUGUAUAAGUCUUCCAAUAUGACUCAGCGCUGGCAAAGAAGGGAAAUCUCCAACUUUGAGUAUUUGAUGUUUCUCAACACAAUAGCAGGACGGACGUAUAAUGAUCUGAACCAAUAUCCUGUGUUUCCAUGGGUGUUAACAAACUACGAAUCAGAGGAAUUGGACCUGACUCUCCCAGGAAACUUCAGGGAUCUGUCAAAGCCAAUUGGUGCUUUGAACCCAAAGAGGGCAGUGUUUUAUGCAGAGCGCUAUGAGACAUGGGAAGAUGAUCAAAGCCCGCCCUACCACUAUAACACACAUUACUCAACUGCAACUUCUGCCCUGUCCUGGCU
rnacentral:lncRNA from 1 species